CACGUAGUUAGCCGGAGCUUAUUCCUCAGGUACCGUCAAAUUCCUCUUUCUUCCCUGAUAAAAGAACUUUACAUUACGAAUAACUUCUUCGUUCACGCGGCGUUGCUCGGUCAGGGUUCCCCCCAUUGCCGAAAACUCCCUACUGCUGCCUCCCGUGGGAGUAUGGACCGUUCUCAGUUCCAUUGUGGCCGUUCAACCUCUCAGUCCGGCUACGCAUCAUCGCCUUGGUAGGCCCUUACCCCACCAACUAGCUAAUGCGCCACAGGCCCCUCCUUAAGCAGAUCUCUCUUUAAAUAUAAAAGAUUCUUCCUCUAUAUCCUAUCCUAGUUUUAUCCUAUUCCGUUUCCAAUGGCUAUCCCUGUCUUAAGGGUAGUUACCUAUGUAUUACUCCUACCCGUUCGACCAACUAAACGUACCCGUAAGGUACCUUCCGUUACGUACUUGCAGUGUAUUAGGCACGCCGCCAGCGUUAAUCCUGACGCC
rnacentral:rRNA from 1 species